rnacentral:rRNA from 1 species
UACGUAGGGUGCGAGCGUUGUCCGGAAUUAUUGGGCGUAAAGAGCUCGUAGGCGGUGUGUCACGUCGGCCGUGAAAACCUGCAGCUUAACUGUGGGCGUGCGGUCGAUACGGGCAUCACUGGAGUUCGGCAGGGGAGACUGGAAUUCCUGGUGUAGCGGUGGAAUGCGCAGAUAUCAGGAGGAACACCAACGGCGAAGGCAGCUCGCUGGGACGGUACUGACGCUGAUGCGCGAAAGCCAGGGGAGCGAACGGG